CCAUUCUGAGAUGAGGCUGUUUAAAGGACCUCCAUUCACUAGGUGGCGGAAUGAUACGAAAGGUGAAGCGGUUACUGUGCCGUUAUCAGUAGAAUAUCGCAUAGCUCUUAGCCAAUCAGAUUCGAGAACCAGAAAGAACUGUUGUAUAAAUUAAUAUAUCAAACAUGUUAAAGUGCACAGAAACCAUGCAACAGGAAGAAGCUGUUUUUCUCUUGGUUGAUGCAAGUUAUUUUUGUACAGUAUUGACACACUUUUACUCUUAUGAAUAUUGUACUUGUGAUUUCUAAAAGUUAUUUUUUUGUUUGUUUAUUUUGUGUUACAGGAAACUUCCACCUACAGUAAGCAGAUGCUGAGGCCCAGAUUUCCAUGCUAAGCACUCCAAGGCUCAUCAUGCUCGGAGAGUCCAAUCUGAGGGCAAAAAAUGGAUGCUUUCCAUCGAGUGCUGAGUUCUCCUCCAAUUGAGUGACGGUUGUGAUUUCACUUCUGCUCUAGCCUUUUUGCGUCAUACUAUGUAUGAGGCAGCCACUACAUUGGGAUUUAUCCAGAGGAAAGCACUUAUUUGUUUUUUUUAUAUAGUUUUGACUAAGAAUGGGAACAAAUAUUUGAGUACUCAUUCUUUAACCAACUACCCGAUUAGUAAAAUACUUCUUAAAGUGUUUUUUUUUAAAUGAACUGUUGUGCAAUUGUUAAAUAUCAAACGUUUAAUUUAACUCGCCAUGCAAAAGGUAGAAAAGCAGCACAGCUAGUCUAAUACAGUGGCAGCCGGUGACUUCUUUUUUUGAGGGCGUUUGUCACAACAUGUAUGUAGCCCAUCAUGUGUGUGGUUCGUCAUUUCAAAAUAUGUGUUUGGCGCGUCGAGUGAAACAAUACUUUUCCAUUCACAAAUUAACAAAUAUUUACCAUAAAUUUCACUGUUGUAUCACUAACUGUAAACUGUAAACUCCACAAACCACCAACAGAGCAUAUAAAAAAAACUUUUAUGUAUAUGUCAUCAACCCAUCUGUCUUGCUUUUACAUUAAUAGUCAAUUUCUUUCAUUACAGGGUAGAGUCCAGCCCAGGAAGUCAACUAGUUCAUGUCCAGAUUUAAAAGAAUAAUAUUUCUGAAAAAAAGGUCUUGGAGAAAAACAAUAUUCAGGUUUGAAAUCCUGCUGGAAAUGUAAAUCAUUUAACUUUUAUGCAUUUGUAAUUUAUCAGAAACUUUUUAAUAAAUAUUGAUUGUUUUGUGUGUUCAGAAAAAGUGUUUUUGUAUGUUCAGAAAAGUGUUGAAAUUAAAUGAAACAUUCACAGAAAAAUGUUAACAUAUUUAAAAAAAUGUAUAUGUUCAGAAAAGUUUUGAGAUGUUCACAGAAAAAAUGUAACACAAAAAAUGUAUGCUAUGCUAUUUUUAAUUUAUGAAUUUUUGUAAUUUAAAGUGAUAAAAUAAAUGGCAUUUUUGUGACAAA